CCCCAGUAACGGCGAGUGAAGCGGCAACAGCUCAAAUUUGAAAUCUGGCCCCCCGGCCCGAGUUGUAAUUUGUAGAGGAUGCUUUUGGUGCGGCGCCUUCCGAGUUCCCUGGAACGGGACGCCAUAGAGGGUGAGAGCCCCGUCUGGUUGGCCGCCAAGCCUCUGUAAAGCUCCUUCGACGAGUCGAGUAGUUUGGGAAUGCUGCUCUAAAUGGGAGGUAUAUGUCUUCUAAAGCUAAAUACCGGCCAGAGACCGAUAGCGCACAAGUAGAGUGAUCGAAAGAUGAAAAGCACUUUGAAAAGAGAGUUAAAUAGCACGUGAAAUUGUUGAAAGGGAAGCGCUUGUGACCAGACUUGGGCUUGGUUAAUCAUCCAGCGUUCUCGCUGGUGCACUUGGCCGGCCCAGGCCAGCAUCAGUUCGGCUUGGGGGAUAAAGGCGUCGGGAACGUGGCUCCCCCGGGAGUGUUAUAGCCCUUCGCGCAAUGCCCUGAGCCGGACUGAGGUUCGCGCAUCUGCAUGGAUGCUGGCGUAAUGGUCAUCAGCGACCCGUCUUGAAACACGGACCAAGGAGUCGUCUUCGUAUGCGAGUGUUCGGGUGUCAAACCCCUACGCGUAAUGAAAGUGAACGCAGGUGAGAGCUUCGGCGCAUCACCGACCGAUCCUGAUGUUCUCGGAUGGAUUUGAGUAAGAGCAUACGGGGCCG
rnacentral:rRNA from 1 species